rnacentral:rRNA from 1 species
CCUACGGGAGGCAGCAGUGGGGAAUUUUGGACAAUGGGCGCAAGCCUGAUCCAGCAAUGCCGCGUGAGUGAAGAAGGCCUUCGGGUUGUAAAGCUCUUUUGUCAGGGAAGAAACGGCCUGUUCUAAUACAGUGGGCUAAUGACGGUACCUGAAGAAUAAGCACCGGCUAACUACGUGCCAGCAGCCGCGGUAAUACGUAGGGUGCAAGCGUUAAUCGGAAUUACUGGGCGUAAAGCGUGCGCAGGCGGUUUUGUAAGUCUGUCGUGAAAUCCCCGGGCUCAACCUGGGAAUGGCGAUGGAGACUGCAAGGCUAGAGUUUGGCAGAGGGGGGUAGAAUUCCACGUGUAGCAGUGAAAUGCGUAGAUAUGUGGAGGAACACCGAUGGCGAAGGCAGCCCCCUGGGUCAAAACUGACGCUCAUGCACGAAAGCGUGGGGAGCAAACAGGAUUAGAUACCCUGGUAGUCCACGCCCUAAACGAUGUCUACUAGUUGUCGGGUCUUAAUUGACUUGGUAACGCAGCUAACGCGUGAAGUGACCGCCUGGGGAGUACGGUCGCAAGAUUAAAACNCAAAGGAAUUGACGG